rnacentral:rRNA from 1 species
UACGGAGGGUGCAAGCGUUAUCCGGAAUCACUGGGUUUAAAGGGUGCGUAGGCGGUUAUGUAAGUCAGGGGUGAAAGGUCACAGCUUAACUGUGAGAUUGCCUUUGAAACUGUGUAACUUGAAUCAGAUAGAGGUUAGUGGAAUGCGACAUGUAGCGGUGAAAUGCAUAGAUAUGUCGUGGAAUACCGAUUGCGAAGGCAGCUUACUAAUCCAUCAUUGACGCUGAGGCACGAAAGCGUGGGGAUCAAACAGGA